rnacentral:tRNA from 1 species
UCCCUGGUGGCUCAGACAGUAAAGAAUCUGCCUGCAAUGCAGGAGACCUGGGUUCGAUCCCUAGGUUGGGAA